rnacentral:rRNA from 1 species
GAUGAACGCUGGCGGCGUGCUUAACACAUGCGAGUCGAACGGGAUCCCAGGAGCUUGCUCCUGGGUGAGAGUGGCGAACGGGUGAGUAAUGCGUGACCGACCUGCCCCAUACACCGGAAUAGCUCCUGGAAACGGGUGGUAAUGCCGGAUGCUCCAGUUGACCGCAUGGUCCUCUGGGAAAGCUUUUGCGGUAUGGGAUGGGGUCGCGUCCUAUCAGCUUGAUGGCGGGGUAACGGCCCACCAUGGCUUCGACGGGUAGCCGGCCUGAGAGGGCGACCGGCCACAUUGGGACUGAGAUACGGCCCAGACUCCUACGGGAGGCAGCAGUGGGGAAUAUUGCACAAUGGGCGCAAGCCUGAUGCAGCGACGCCGCGUGCGGGAUGACGGCCUUCGGGUUGUAAACCGCUUUUGACUGGGAGCAAGCCCUUCGGGGUGAGUGUAC